GGGGAAAUAGCUCAAUGGUAGAGCGUCUGCCUUACAAGCAGAAUGUUGAAGGUUCAAGUCCUUCUUUUCUC
rnacentral:tRNA from 1 species